UCGGUUCCUCAAUACCGACUUCUAUAUCUACGGGGCUGACUUAACUUGUGUGUACAUACUUGGGGCAGGUUAAUAAAUUAAAGCUUUACUAUUCGUUGGUAGUACUAGAAUUGGUUAUAAUAAACUAACAUAUUAA
rnacentral:misc_RNA from 1 species